UAACGCGUGAGUAACCUGCCUCUAAGAGGGGAAUAACAUUCUGAAAAGAAUGCUAAUACCGCAUAACAUAUAUUUAUCGCAUGGUAGGUAUAUCAAAGAUUUAUCGCUUAGAGAUGGACUCGCGUCCGAUUAGUUAGUUGGUGAGGUAACGGCUCACCAAGACCGCGAUCGGUAGCCGGACUGAGAGGUUGAACGGCCACAUUGGGACUGAGACACGGCCCAG
rnacentral:rRNA from 1 species